CCUACGGGGAGCAGCAGUGAGGAAUAUUGGUCAAUGGACGAGAGUCUGAACCAGCCAAGUAGCGUGAAGGAUGACUGCCCUAUGGGUUGUAAACUUCUUUUAUAUGGGAAUAAAACGUUCCACGUGUGGGAUUUUGUAUGUACCAUAUGAAUAAGGAUCGACUAACUCCGUGCCAGCAGCCGCGGUAAUACGGAGGAUCCGAGCGUUAUCCGGAUUUAUUGGGUUUAAAGGGAGCGUAGGUGGAUUGUUAAGUCAGUUGUGAAAGUUUGCGGCUCAACCGUAAAAUUGCAGUUGAAACUGGCAGUCUUGAGUACAGUAGAGGUGGGCGGAAUUCGUGGUGUAGCGGUGAAAUGCUUAGAUAUCACGAAGAACUCCGAUUGCGAAGGCAGUUCACUGGACUGCAACUGACACUGAGGCUCGAAAGUGUGGGUAUCAAACAGGAUUAGAUACCCGAGUAGUC
rnacentral:rRNA from 1 species